GAUCAUGGCUCAGGAUGAACGCUAGCUACAGGCUUAACACAUGCAAGUCGAGGGGAAACGAUAUUGAAAGCUUGCUUCUUUAGGCGUCGACCGGCGAAUGGGUGAGUAACGCGUAUCCAACCUGCCCCUGAGUAAGGGAUAGCCCAUCGAAAGAUGGAUUAAUACCUUAUGGUUCCUUUGAAGGCAUCAGAUUAGGAAUAAAGAUUUAUCGCUGAGGGAUGGGGAUGCGUCUGAUUAGCUUGUUGGCGGGGUAACGGCCCACCAAGGCAACGAUCAGUAGGGGUUCUGAGAGGAAGGUCCCCCACAUUGGUACUGAGACACGGACCAAACUCCUACGGGAGGCAGCAGUGAGGAAUAUUGGUCAAUGGGCGCAAGCCUGAACCAGCCAAGUAGCGUGCCAGGAUGACUGCCCUAUGGGUUGUAAACUGCUUUUAUACGGGGAUAAAGUCAGAGUCGUGACUCUGUUUGCAGGUACCGUAUGAAUAAGGACCGGCUAAUUCCGUGCCAGCCGCCGC
rnacentral:rRNA from 1 species